UGCAACAUCCCACCUCUCUGUGUGUAAUCUCUAAGUAUCCCCCAUGUCUUCAGAGCUAUAUCCCUCUCAGAUUCAAGUCCAGAGCAAGAGCAUCUGAUAUAGUUUGGAUGUGUGUCCCUGUCCAAAUCUUAUGGUGAAUUGUCAUCCCCAAUGUUGGAGCAUCCGGAGAAAUUAUUCUUGAGCUGACAGGUGCAUUAGUCCAAAGAACACUUACCUCAGUGGACCAUGACUAUGCGAGGCUGCAGGACCACCAGCGUCCAUGACAAGUGUGUCCGCAUUACUGCAAGUCUUUUGGUAGUGGUCAGAAAACAACACUGGAGCAAUACCAUGUGGCAACAAGAGCAACAAUGGCCAAGAUAAUGGAGCUGUUCCACUGACUGCACAGGUUUUCUGGUCCUUUCUCCAUGGCAGGACAGUGACAAAGACUGACUCUUAAAAUAAUUAGAAGACAGCUGCCAGGUUGGAGACCAUUUCAGAUGUCAAUCUGCAAAGUGGUAUGGAAAGGCAGGAAAUAAGCCAUGGAACAUUUUAAUUGCCUUCAUAACCUGGGUUACGGGAAACAGGCAUCUCCUUCAUUUCUGCUUCUGAGAGGAGGGUGCUGUGGCCAAGGGCUUGGAUGCUCACAGAAUCUCCCAUCCCCUUCCAUGAGCAUUAUUGAAGAGAAGAUAUCACGGAAGAAUUGUGGGAAUAAACAUGGUGUCAUUCAUAUGCUCUGUGAGCUCAUCUAAGAGUCCAAGGUGCCAUCCCUUCUGCAGGAUCACUAGCAGCUGUCCAUGUGGCGCCAGCUCAACCAUCUCUAAUGGGGAAAUCAACAACUACUGAGCAGUCCUACUGGGAUAUACUACAAGUACCAAGUAUCAGACACAUGAAUCCAAAACUAAAUUUGCCACCCUCCCUCCCAGGAACAAUGCAUUUUCAUGUGUCCUACCAUUACUCCUACCCUGACACUUACCCACUAGACUAGAGCAUGUGAGUGACCCUGUCUCAUUUUGCUGUAUUACCAGCACCUAGAAUAGUGCAAAUAAUACAGAAGUUGCUCAAUACACACCCGUGGAACUACUAUUGAAUGAAUAACAGGUGCCCCAAUGAUUUUCUUUAAAAAUCCAGGUCACUUGGUAA